AGAGUUUGAUCCUGGCUCAGAACGAACGCUGGCGGCAGGCUUAACACAUGCAAGUCGAACGCACCUUUCGGGGUGAGUGGCAGACGGGUGAGUAACGCGUGGGAACAUACCCUUCGGUACGGAACAACUUGGGGAAACUUGAGCUAAUACCGUAUACGGCCUAUGGGCGAAAGAUUGAUCGCCGAAGGAUUGGCCCGCGUCCGAUUAGCUAGUUGGUGAGGUAACGGCUCACCAAGGCGACGAUCGGUAGCUGGUCUGAGAGGAUGGCCAGCCACAUUGGGACUGAGACACGGCCCAAACUCCUACGGGAGGCAGCAGUGGGGAAUAUUGGACAAUGGGCGCAAGCCUGAUCCAGCCAUGCCGCGUGAGUGAUGAAGGCCUUAGGGUUGUAAAGCUCUUUCGCACGCGACGAUAAUGACGGUAGCGUGAGAAGAAGCCCCGGCUAACUUCGUGCCAGCAGCCGCGGUAAUACGAAGGGGGCUAGCGUUGUUCGGAUUUACUGGGCGUAAAGGGCGCGUAGGCGGAUUGAUCAGUCAGGGGUGAAAUGCCAAGGCUCAACCUUGGAACUGCCUUUGAUACUGUUGAUCUCGAGUCCGGGAGAGGUGAGUGGAACUGCGAGUGUAGAGGUGAAAUUCGUAGAUAUUCGCAAGAACACCAGUGGCGAAGGCGGCUCACUGGCCCGGAACUGACGCUGAGGCGCGAAAGCGUGGGGGAGCAAACAGGAUUAGAUACCCUGGUAGUCCACGCCUUAAACGAUGAAUGCCAGCCGUUAGGUAGUUUACUACUGAGUGGCGCAGCUAACGCUUUGAGCAUUCCGCCUGGGGAGUACGGUCGCAAGAUUAAAACUCAAAGGAAUUGACGGGGGCCCGCACAAGCGGUGGAGCAUGUGGUUUAAUUCGAAGCAACGCGCAGAACCUUACCAGCCUUUGACAUGGCAGGACGGCCCAGAGAGAUUUGGGUUUUCACUUCGGUGACCUGCGCCACAGGUGCUGCAUGGCUGGUCGUCAGCCUCGUGGUCGUGAGAUGUUGGGUUAAGUCCCGCAACGAGCGCAACCCACGUCCUUAGUUGCCAUCAUUCAGUUGGGCACUCUAGGGAGACUGCCGGUGAUAAGCCGCGAGGAAGGUGUGGAUGACGUCAAGUCCUCAUGGCCCUUACGGGCUGGGCUACACACGUGCUACAAUGGCGGUGACAGAGGGAAGCGGAGGAGCGAUCCCGAGCCAAUCUCGAAAAGCCGUCUCAGUUCGGAUUGCACUCUGCAACUCGAGUGCAUGAAGUUGGAAUCGCUAGUAUCGCAGAUCAGCACGCUGCGGUGAAUACGUUCCCGGGCCUUGUACACACCGCCCGUCACACCAUGGGAGUUGGUUCUACCCGAAGGCGUUUCGCCAACCGCAAGGGGGCAGGCGACCACGGUAGGGUCAGCGACUGGGGUGAAGUCGUAACAAGGUAACC
rnacentral:rRNA from 1 species